GACGUAGGGAGCAAGCGUUGUCCGGAUUUACUGGGCGUAAAGCGUGCGUAGGCGGUUUGUUAAGACAGGUGUGAAAUCCCGGGCUUAACCUGGGAACUGCGCUUGUUACUGGCAGACUGGAGUGUGGGCAGAGGGGGGUGGAAUUCCAGGUGUAGCAGUGAAAUGCGUAGAUAUCUGGAGGAACACCGAUGGCGAAGGCAGCCUCCUGGGCCAGCAUCUGACGCUCAU
rnacentral:rRNA from 1 species